GGAAGGCGCCCGCGGAGGCGCAGAGGCUCUCCGGGGAGGCCCCACUACCCCGACGGGUCGCCGAAGCCGGCGCGGGACACGCAGUCGUCCCCUGAGGGGGCAGAGAUUGAGAGACAUGUUGCCUCAAAGUCAGGACUCUUCUGCAAUAAAACGUAAAGAAGAGCUCACACAGAAAACAAGCCUCUGAGUCCUACAAGAAAUCAGGGAAAUGGGUCACAGUUUGUAGGUGCCACUACUACUCAGGGAAAAUGGCAGCUGACGAAGAAUAUGAGGAGGUGGUGGAGUACUAGGUGGAGGACGCCAUAUACGAGGAGGUGCCGGGGCAAGUAAGGGCCAGACAGAUCUGUUUCUCUUGAGCACGGCACACAGAGGAUGGCUGUCACAGGGCUUGGAGCUGCAUGAGACCUAACAUUUGCAGCUGCUGCCAGUCGGUUAGUUUCUCCCCAUCCCUGUUUGCCAGCAACGGCAGCAGAAAGCAGCCCAUCAGCAACGACCUGAUGACACCAGGGGAAGUUGUCCCAGAUGUCGGUUUCCUUGUUGGUUCAGCUUCCCUUUCCAUAAUUGAUGCAAGGACUCUUGCUUUGGUAGAGAUGAUACUAGCUGUGAAGGAAGUCCUGCCAUCACAUGGAUGGACCAGUUGCCUGCUUACCAUUUUUUCUUACAUACGGUACUUUUAACCUUGGACCAGACCUAAACUUUGGCCUUAGUUUCUUCUGUACACCCUGGCGUAAGAAACCGUAAUUUCCCACCUACUGCACGUGUACGACUGUUACAAGGAUGAUUACCCCCUUAUGUUGCCGUCCUUAUCCUGGUCCACCUAAGCAUUUGUUAGCAUAAAUGGCACUCUAGUUCACAUUAACUAACUGACUAAGCCAAAAGGAUGGUAGUCACUUGUGAUACUGAUGUGAUUCAUUCCUUUAAAGUUCAUUAUUCUUUGCCUAGGACUGCAGGGGAGAGGCCUGAAGACCUGUGGAAAAAGCAAGCAGGUUUUUCAUAGACUCAUUUAGAGUUAAUAUGAAGUCAACAAGACAAUAACAGAAAUCUUUGAAACUACUACCACAAGGACGACCACAUUGGACUAUGAACCAUCAGGACCUUCCAAACCGGCAUUGGUGUUGCACAGCCAGUACCAGCCAAUCCAGCGGAGAGGAAGAAGGUUAUCUGGAAGAAAUUGGAUUCUUUGAAGUUCAUGACCUGUGUACAUUGUACACAGCCAGAAGAUGCAGGACCUCUUUGGCCCGAAUAAAUAUAGGGAGAACUGUGAGAAAGCAAAAGGACAGCCAUAUGCCAUCACGACGGAUACACCAGAACUUCCCCAAAUGAAGAAACUUCAAGAUCGAGGCGGGACAAGAUGGUGGAAGAGUAGGGCCAAGUCACCUGUCCCCACCAAAUUACCUAGAUAACUUUCAAAUCAUCCUGAAAACCGAUGAAUUUGACUUGAGAUUUAAAGAGGGAACAGCUGGAAUGCUAUAGUGAGAAGAGUUCAUUCUUCAGGUAGAAAGAUGGGGGAAAAAAAGAAAGAAAUAAGAGGAAUCCAAGGGAGAGGAGCCCCACCAGGAGUCGGGCUAAGGCCCCAGCGAGAGCCCCCAGGGCGGGAAAGCCCUGUCCUGGAGAAGCAGGAGCUGCACCAAUCUUCUCGGACAGAAAGGAGGUCGCAGGGAGUUGGAGCAGGAUCCCAGAGCAGUCGGGAUGCCCUCAGGCUCCCUGGGACACUAACAGAGGACCUGCACCCCAGGAGAGCACCCCACACCCCGUGGUCGAGCUCCCUAAAGGGCUGCAGCACGCGCCCGGCUGGACCCAGAGCAGCUCGGAGGCGGCUGGGGAAGAGGCUCCGCGUGGAGGGGGCUGUGCGACCCCGGGAGCAGCUCAGAGGCAGCUCCGGCAGAGGCUCCACACGAAGGGAGCUGUGUGGCCGGGAGUGCAAUUCCAAGAGCGCAGGCCCGGGAGCACAGGGCACCGGGGACACAGCCCAAGAUCCGGCGCUCACCCCCGAAUAGGCAGAAGCCAGGAGGGCA